AAGCAUGGCCUUUAUUGCCAGGUCCCAGGUUCUAAAAAAAUCACUUCCUCUGUCUUCACCAGACUAUUAUGUAUAUGGCAGCUAUUAGGCUUUCCCUUAAUUCUGAGGAGAUGCAAAAGGGGAUAGUGACUGACUAUAUAGAGCUCUAUAUAGUAUACAGAGCUCUAUUAUAGUAUAGAGCAUGUUCUCUGGAGCUUGGUUGCCUGAGUUCAAAUCCUGGCUCUACCACUUAUGUGAUCUGGGGCCAGUUACACAGAUUUUCUGCAUCUUGGUUUCCGCCUAUGUAAAAUGGUGUUAAUCACGUAGAUACUUCAUAGAGCUGUUAUGAGGGUUAAAUGGCUGAAUAUGUGUUACAGCAAUGCUGCGAGGUGGAGAUUAUUACGCUUGUUUUUAAAAACUGGCUAAGACAAUUUAAGAGGGUUGACUAAAGUUUGCAUUGCUAUGUGUGGCAGAGCUAUUGUUUGAACUCAGAGUCAGCGCUUCUUCAAUGUCUCCUCAAGGUCAUUAAAAAAAACCAAGUAGAUGGGGGAGGACCUGGUGUGUGCUCUCUCCUCAGCAUGGUCUUCUACAAGUCUUUGUUCUCCUGGAGAGGAGUAAGAGAUACUGCCCAGAUUCCCUCUCUUCACUGGCAUUCAGCCAACCCUCUAUUGACCCAACAAACACCUUGAGUGCUUAAAUAUGUACACCUAGUGAUGUCUUUUGCUAUCCUAUUUGUGACUACCUCAAAUGCCAGGUUUCUACAAAGUUAUAAAUUCCCUGAGAGCAUCCUAUGUGUCUUUGUUACUACUAACAGUGUUUUACACAAUGCCAGGCACACGGUAGAUUCUCAAAAAACUAUACAGCUGUUUCACAUAUUUUUUAAAUACUUUCUUCUUUGUGUUUUUAUAUGUUGUCUAAAUUUUGUAUAAUAAGCAUGUGGUUAUUUUUAUUUAUUUAUUUUAGAGAGAGACAGAGUGCGAGCAGAAGAGGGGCAGAGAGGGAAACACAGAAUCUGAAACAGACUCCAGGCUCUGAGCUGUCAGCACAAAGUCUGAUGCACGGCUCGAACUCAUGAAUUGAGAGAUCAUGACCUGAGCCUAAGUCAGACACUUAACUGAGUGAGCCACUCAGAUGCCCCAGCAUAUGCUGGGGUAUGUGGCUGUCCUUGCCCAAGGGAUCCUGAUUGAUCUUCUCUGGUGGCAACAGGGCUCAGCCCCCUCCUUCCUGCAGGAUAAAGGAAACCUUGGAAGAGAGGCAGUGACAAGGUUGAUGGCAAAAAGACCUCUAAGGAUUUCAGAAUAAAUACUUAGACACCACCUUAGAAUACGUAGAACUUUCUAGAAGGUCUGAAUGAAUACACCCUCCCCUACUUGAAACUUCAGGACAGCUGGCAGCUUAGGCCUUUUGUCCUCCAUCUGUGUCCAGCUAUUAGAGUUGUGCUGUGAUGUUAUUGAAUUGAAUCAAGAACCCAGGUGUGCUACCUCUUUCAGGCCCAUGUCAUCUUAAAGGUCCAAGAUCUACAGGCUAGUUGGAACAGAUGAGUAGAGGAAGAAGGAAAGAAUAUUUAUUGUUUUGACUCCAAAAUAUGGUGGCAAAACUUUGCAAAAUACAGAAGGUUAAAAGAUUGCCACAAUAUCUUGACAGUUUCGUUGUGGUUUGUUUUACAUACCACUGCAUGUUGUAUGUAGACAGAUUCAUAUUUAUGAGAAGCAGAGAAUGGCCCACCCUGACUCCUCACCUUGAUCUUAUCAGACAGCAUCUGACAAAUGAAACAACAGGAAGUUUUGCUGGAAGCUGUUGCUGGCUGGGGUUAAACGCAAGCAGUAAGUGGUCUAGAAAUGUUAUAAUACUUGGCAUUGACCAAUAUUGCCACCACAGUGUGGUAAA